AGUUAGCCAAUCGGAGACGCGCACGCUCCGCCCCCUCGUCAGCCAUCCUUAGUGCUGGCGGCGAGGCGUUUUUUAGCCUACGCAUCCGUCCAGUUGAAGCUUUUGGAGUUUAUUUUUAGCUGGCAUAAGUGUGAUUGAUGGUUAAUAUUGAUUGACAACUUGACAGGACCUAGAACACCUAGUAACGAACCUCUGGGCAUGUCUGUGAAGAAGUUUCUAUGCUGUGUUAUUUGAGACUGCAGACACGGUUGACCAGAUGCCUCACACACUGCUGUGACCAUGACAAGGGUGUCAUGUCCAAACUGUGUCUACCAGACCCAUGUUGAAUGUCCUGCGGGUCCAGGCAUUAUUGGCGCCCACGUGCCUGAAGUCUGACAACCAGGGGAAAGACGCCGCUGGCCGGAGAGAAGGGUUCUUCCAGAGCGUCCCCACAUGGUCUUCAUUUUGGUGACCGACCGAAAAGAGCAAGACGGAUGAGGUGGCGAGCAACGGUGCAGAUCUCACGGCCAACUCCUUGCCCGGCUUGAAGGCAGAAGCUCCCUGAAAGAUCUAGAACCCAACCUGUUUGCUGAUGAAGAUUCUCCAGUGCAUGGACUGACUGUCGGUAUGUCUUUGGGCUCCAGCAUCCCCUGACUGUCGGUGUGUCUUUGGGCUCCAGCAUCCCCUGACUGUCGGUGUGUCUUUGGGCUCCAGCAUCCCCUGACUGUCGGUGUGUCUUUGGGCUCCAGCAUCCCCUGACUGUCGGUGUGUCUUUGGGCUCCAGCAUCCCGGUCAGUUUGGAGUGACAGCCUGCUACGCAAGCAACAGCGUCAGUCACCAGGGAAGGGUAAAGCAGGAAGUUCAAAGUCUGAGGCCAGCUUGUUGUAUGUAGCAAGAUCCUGCCUCAAAAAAUGAACAAAAGAUCUCUAGUUUGUCACUGGUUUGUUCUUUCACUCUUUCUGGUUGGGAACGAAUGCCUCUUUGGUUUCAGCCCUACUACAUUUCCUGAGGCUGGUACUGUGGCCUGACGGGUAGAAGGUUGUGUGUUCUCCUGUGCCCAGGCCAAGUGCUGUCUAGAUGGCUCUUGGUUCCAGCUGGCUCUUAGUGCUAAUGUCUGCUUCCUCGCUGCACUUGUUUGUGGCUGCUGUAUCUACUCUUCCGUUUUCUAGGUAAGCUAUUGACAUCUCUGGCUGUUGUCUUUUUCUCACUUCUCUUCCAUCCACCUGGCUUCCUGCGUUUAGGGCUUUGAGUAUUGCACAUACAAAAGUUUAUUAUCUUAUUGCUGGCUGACCCAUUCAUCAUUAUAAAAUGCUCUUUAUACCUCAUACCCAUAGGAAUGACAUUAUUUAAAACAAAAGCAAAACACUAAGUGUUGGCACGGCUGCGAGGAAACCAGGACUGGCCUGUACCUCUGCUAAGACAGGAAAAUGGUACUGUGGUUACUGAGAACAGCGUAGCGCUUCCACAGAGCUUACUGGAACUCUGAUGCUGCGUCUCGAAACCGCCGUGAGGUGGAAGCAAGCGAAUGUCCACCGACGGCUGAAAGGGUAACACAGUGUGGUGACCGGCACCUGCGACCCAGCGUCGGCACGCUGUUUGAGACUAACCUAGCUACAACGUGACACUUUCAAACAUGCACACACACUAGUGAACAAAGUGGUAUAUGCAUACAGUGAAAUACUUCUCUGCCUUACAAAGGAAUCCUGUUGCACACCAAAAUAAAACUUAAGAAUCAGGACUGGAGACAUAGCUCAGCAGUCAAGAGUUUGGACUGCUUUUCCAGAGAACCAGAGUUUGGUUCCUAGUACCCAUAUCAGGCAGUUCAUAACCAUCUCAGCUCUGGGAGAACAGAUACUCCUGGCUCCCCUAAGCGCCUGCCUCACAUCCAUAUUCCUACACAUAUACAUUUGCUUAUUUUAUAUGAUAUGUAUGGAUGCUUUGUCUGCCUAGAUGUCUGCACCCAUGGAGGCCAGAAGAGGGUGUUGAAUUCCCUGGAGCUGGAGUUAUAGGUGUUUGUGAGCCACCGACUGGGUCCUGGGUCCUCUGGAAGAAUAUCCAGUGGUCUUAACUGCUGAGCCAUCUCUCUAGUCCCUCUGCUAUACUCUUUUAAGUCCCUUGCCAUUCUCUUUCAUAUUUUUAAACUAUUUGUCCUAGUCAUUAGCAAGUGUCCUCAUUUAUAACAGCUAGUUUGCAUUGACAUCACCGUAAUUUGAAUAGCUUGCUGGUUAAACCGUGGAUCAGUUACCCGAUAGAAGAGUGACAGACAUAAACGUCCUUCAUAAGCGUCUCUUCUUCUGCUGUCGCAUACUCGCUCUGCCUUGCUGUCUUUGUGCCCUGUCUACUGUCAUUUCCUUCAGAGCAAAGGAGUAUGGGAUUGCUGGUACCGCAGAGCUCUGUCCCUGUGCUCCACGGGAAAGCACGUCAUUUCACACGAAUUUGUAUUCAUGAGUUAGACCUGAGGAAGUCAACUGCGUAUAGAGCAAGGUUUUAUAGCACAUCUUUGCUUCAAAUGUUAUAGAAACUUUGAGAAACACUAUCAUGUUUAGUCACUACCAAAAGUGUGUGCUCACAUUUAUAUUUGCUGUAAAAGUAAACAGGAACUCAGUGGGCAAACUACACACAAGACAGGGGUUCUAAGUCAGGAACACUUCCAGCGUCUGUUACGGGAAGUUUAUGGUACAGAGAGAUCCUUGGGCUCUGCUCUGUGGAAGCAUAUUUUAAUGUAUUUGCAGGUGGAGGGUGUUUACUGAAGACUGGGAAUUAUGAUCUGCAGAUUCAAUGUUUUGGCUACAUAGUUAGGCUGGAGGUCGUUGUGGCCUUUUUCUUAGGUUUUCUAAAGACUCUAGCUCUGACUCUGACCUCCACCUGUUGGCCCCGCCUCCUCCUAGCGUCUGUUGGAGAGCAGCUGUCAGGGUCAAACCAUUACCCCAGCUGUACGUGCUAACUAAGCUCCAGGGCUUUUGUUUCUUUUUUUUUCUUCUCUUUCUUUUUUCUUUUCUCCUCCUCCUCCUCCUCCCUCUUUUCUUCCUCAGUUCAAGUUGCCAUGUUCAGCACUUCAGCUAGGUAAGGGUGCUAGAGUUUUUGGAAGACAUAGAGACAGCAUUCAAGUGUGAUGUUCUCUACCUCCCUACCAUUAAUCUGUAACAAAGAAGUGACAUUAUCCAUGAACAUGUUCUUUCAGCUAAGAGUUUAACCUUAAACUUUUUAAAUUUCUUUUUUAUUACCCCCUUUUCCCCAUUUUAUGUGUAUGAGUGUUUUGCCUACAUGAAUGUCUGCAUUACAUAUAUACAGUACUCAUGGGGGUCAGAGCAGGGUGUUAGAUCCCCUAAGACUGGAGUUAUGAAGUGCCAUGCGGGCACUGCUAAUCAAAUUUAGGUCCUCUGCAAGAGCAGUUGGUGCUCUUAACCACCAAGCCCCAGCACUGGGCAUUUCUUAGUAUGAUUUGGGUGUGUUGUUUGUGCUGGGGUUAGGAUUUUCAAGUCCCAGCCUUCGAGAAGGCAAAAGGAGAUGCAAUCAGGUGAUGUAUUAGCUACUUUCACGUCACCGGGACAGGGAAUAUCCACCCUGGCUCAUGGUUUCAGAGGGUUCUGUCCAUGAUCACUUGGCGCCAGUACUACCAUCAUGGUAAGGACACAUGGAAGACUUGUUCACUUCUAGCGGUCAGGGAGUGGCCAGGUAAGAUGUUCUCCAGAGACACACCUCAGUGACUUGCUUCCUUCGCUGGGUCCCACCUUCUGCUCUUCCCACUUCCCAAUAAUGCCAUCAUAUGAGGUCAUCAAGGAAUGACCUGAUGUGAUAGCCGACCUCCUGACACGCCCUGAGUUGUUACUCGCUGGCCAGGCACUUCCUAAUCCAAUCAGUGAUGCUCGGGAUGGGCCCUCAGUUACAUGGCUGCCAGCGUUAGGAUCCUGAGAGACGUAGGAAGCCUGCUGUAGGUGUCUGCCUUGUGUGGUCAGCUGUGUCCUUCACCUUGAGGCAGGGAUCAUCAGCACUCCUCCGUACAGCAGGCCAGGUGGAUUCUAAGCUUGUGGGGCUUCUGUCCCCCAUUUCACCAUAAGAGUGCCACCGUGUCAGCGCUAUGUGGCCCUGGGACCUGAAGUCAGGCUCAACCACUAAAAAUGUGAGGUGACAAUGACCUGAGGCACACAGGCCCAUCUCUGGGAGCCUCCCUCGCACCGCUUCAGCCCUCAGCCGUUUUUAUGUUUUCUUGGUGCUGGCUAGUCUCUCACUACUGGGAUGGGGGUGCGGGUCCGGGGUAGCGUCAUUUCCUACCACAGCUGAGGACCUGCAUUUCAUCCUCAAUGCCAACCAAAAAAAACCCAAAAACACCUUUUAAAACUGGGCCCUUUAUCAGAGAUCCUGUAUGAAUUUGCCUAUGUAUCUGCAUUUGCCUAUGCAGAUAGAUCCGCAUUAACAAGUGGGUUUGGAUUUUUAGCUCAGAUCCCAGUACAUCUCUCUGUAAAGCUCCCCGAGACUUGUUCUGUGGCCCACUGUUGCACGGAUGCAUCUUGACUGACAUUUUUGAAUUU